AGUGAGGUGGCCGAGUAUAGGUGGUGGGCUGUAAACCUACUUACGGGAAGUUUUCUCUCUCGCUA
rnacentral:tRNA from 1 species